rfam:Euryarchaeota archaeon SG8-5 WOR_8-12_9029, whole genome shotgun sequence.
GCCGAGGUAACAUAGCGGCUAUGUGGCGGACUGCAGAUCCGUAUACGGGAGUUCGAAUCUCCCCCUCGGCU